GAUGAACGCUGGCGGCGUGCCUAAUACAUGCAAGUCGAGCGAACAGACGAGGAGCUUGCUCCUCUGACGUUAGCGGCGGACGGGUGAGUAACACGUGGAUAACCUACCUAUAAGACUGGGAUAACUUCGGGAAACCGGAGCUAAUAUCGGAUAAUAUAUUGAACCGCAUGGUUCAAUAGUGAAAGACGGUUUUGCUGUCACUUAUAGAUGGAUCCGCGCCGCAUUAGCUAGUUGGUAAGGUAACGGCUUACCAAGGCAACGAUGCGUAGCCGACCCGAGAGGGUGAUCGGCCACACUGGAACUGAGACACGGUCCAGACUCCUACGGGAGGCAGCAGUAGGGAAUCUUCCGCAAUGGGCGAAAGCCUGACGGAGCAACGCCGCGUGAGUGAUGAAGGUCUUCGGAUCGUAAAACUCUGUUAUUAGGGAAGAACAAAUGUGUAAGUAACUAUGCACGUCUUGACGGUACCUAAUCAGAAAGCCACGGCUAACUACGUG
rnacentral:rRNA from 1 species